AGCAGCUCUCCUCCUGAGUCUCCAUCCCGGAGAAGACACAGAGGGAGAAGUCGACAGUCCCGCCUCACCAGUGCAUCGCAGCAGCUCCUGAGUUUAAAACCAAGGCAUCCACUACGAGGUCAAGGGAACGAUGUGCCAUGAAGGUUGUUUGCUGUGACUGAACCUGAAAACUUGUCUUGAACACACAGGAUCCUUCAGGAGCUGAUGCGGAGACCUGCGACACCAGGAGCCUGAAUGCUGAUGUCAGCUUUUAUCUGAUAAAAAGAUGUGUACUACAUAACACAGAGCAGACAAAGGAUACAGGGAAGACAUGAACACAUGUGUACACUUGAAUCAUUGCUAUUCCUGCUCCUUGUAUUUAGGUCAGUUCUUUUCCUCACUGCCAGUCAUAGUAUUUGGUAGACAACAGAAUGCUGUCAUCUGCAGCUGCAGUAAUUUAAAUAAAUGCAGUAUUACAGUACUAGUUAAUUGUAUAGUAGUAAUGCACUGCAGUUAUUAACAUGGUAU